ACUUGAAGAAAUCUUUUGAUAUCAGCAUUUGUGUGCUAGCAGAGUCACAGGUAACAAACAUCAGCUGUGCAAGCAUUUUGAAGUGAUUGAUGCCACAGCACUUUCAUUUUAACAUGAACCAUUUCAGAGAAGGUGGCUCGAAAUAACAUUUUUAAAAAACAAUUUAUAUUAAGAUUUGUCUCCGUGUAAAAAGGCAGCUUUUAACUCAAAUGCAGAUGAAAGCAGCUGUUCCCUUGUGUAAUGCAGUCACCAAGGGCUGUUCUUGUCCCCCCGUUCCACACCCCUGUCAGCAGAGGGGGCCAGAGCAGCACAGGCUGGGGUAACAGCAGUGGGAGGAUGUUGUAUCCUGGCACGGCAUCUGCCCUUGCAGCCAGGAAAGGCAACACAGGAUUGUUCUGGAGCAUUUGCUACUCUCACUUUGGUGAGUUGGGUGAUCAGGUCCGAGGCAGAGGAGGCUGUGGUUGCAGCCCCAGUGCUGCUGUUGGCUCACGUGCAGAUCGGAACAGCAC